rnacentral:rRNA from 1 species
CAGCACCUCAAGUGGUCAGGAUGAUUAUUGGGCCUAAAGCAUCCGUAGCCGGCUCUGUAAGUUUUCGGUUAAAUCUGUAUGCUCAACAUAUAGGCUGCCGGGAAUACUGCAGAGCUAGGGAGUGGGAGAGGUAGACGGUACUCGGUAGGAAGGGGUAAAAUCCUUUGAUCUAUUGAUGACCACCUGUGGCGAAGGCGGUCUAUCAGAACACGUCCGACGGUGAGGGAUGAAAGCUGGGGGAGCAAACCGGAUUAGAUACCCGAGUAGUCC